rnacentral:rRNA from 1 species
AAUCAACGCUGGCGGCGUGCCUAACACAUGCAAGUCGAACGAGAAAGUGGGGGCAACUCCAUGAGUAAAGUGGCAGACGGGUGAGUAACACGUGAACAACCUACCCUUGAGUGGGGAAUAACACCGCGAAAGCGGUGCUAAUACCGCAUAACAUCUUCGGAUCGCAUGAUUUGAAGAUCAAGAGCGCAAGCUGCUUGAGGAGGGGUUCGCGGCUGAUUAGCUAGUUGGUGAGGUAACGGCCCACCAAGGCAACGAUCAGUAGCCGGCCUGAGAGGGCGAACGGCCACACUGGAACUGAGACACGGUCCAGACUCCUACGGGUGGCUG